rfam:Haemonchus contortus, ISE/inbred ISE, WGS project CAVP01000000 data, contig: Hcontortus_27145
UGUGGUCCGGAGUCGGAGGGUUAUCUGAACAAAACUUCCCUUCGGCAUCAACUCGACCAAC